rnacentral:rRNA from 1 species
UACGGAGGGGGCUAGCGUUGUUCGGAAUUACUGGGCGUAAAGCGCACAUAGGCGGCUUUGUAAGUUAGAGGUGAAAGCCCAGGGCUUAACCCUGGAAUUGCCUUUAAGACUGCAUCGCUCGAAUUGUGGAGAGGUGAGUGGAAUUCCGAGUGUAGAGGUGAAAUUCGUAGAUAUUCGGAAGAACACCAGUGGCGAAGGCGACUCACUGGACACAUAUUGACGCUGAGGUGCGAAAGCGUGGGGAGCAAACAGG